GUGGGGAAUAUUGGACAAUGGGGGGAACCCUGAUCCAGCCAUGCCGCGUGUGUGAAGAAGGCCUUUUGGUUGUAAGGCACUUUAAGCGAGGAGGAGGCUACCGAGAUUAAUACUCUUGGAUAGUGGACGUUACUCGCAGAAUAAGCACCGACUAACUCUGUGCCAGCAGCCGCGGUAAUACAGAGGGUGCAAGCGUUAAUCGGAUUUACUGGGCGUAAAGCGCGCGUAGGUGGCCAAUUAAGUCAAAUGUGAAAUCCCCGAGCUUAACUUGGGAAUUGCAUUCGAUACUGGUUGGCUAGAGUAUGGGUGAGGAUGGUAGCAUUCCAGGUGUAGCGGUGAAAUGCGUAGAGAUCUGGAGGAAUACCGAUGGCGAAGGCAGCCAUCUGGCCUAAUACUGACACUGAGGUGCGAAAGCAUGGGGAGCAAACAGGAUUAGAUACCCUUGUAGUCC
rnacentral:rRNA from 1 species